rnacentral:rRNA from 1 species
CUUAACCCCUUGUGGGAGGGAGCCGUCGAAGGUGGGAUCGGCGAUUGGGACGAAGUCGUAACAAGGUAGCCGUACCGGAAGGUGCGGCUGGAUCACCUCCUUUCUAAGGAG